rnacentral:tmRNA from 1 species
GGGGAUGAUCGGUUUCGACAGUGGUAGUCGAAACAGGAGAAGCGAGCCGAGGAACGCGGCAAUGAUCUCGUUAACCACCUGUCGCAAAAAAAUAAUCGCCAACUCUAAGCGCGAUAUCCCGCAGUUCGCUCUCGCUGCCUGAUCAGCGAGCGAAUAGGGUGUCAGACCGGAGCGUUCCCGAUCCGGAACCUGGCAUAAUCUAGGGAACUCAACCAACCGCCCCGGCUACGGGGGCGGGCGGGAAACCAAACAGUAGCUGGGCCCGUCGGCGGCUUGUCCGCGUGACUGCCGGGGCCGAGAAAAGCACAGCGGACUGCGCUCGGAGAAGUCCUGAAUCCACUCCAUUGGACCCGGGUUCGAUUCCCGGCAUCUCCACCA